rnacentral:rRNA from 1 species
GAUGAACGCUGGCGGCGUGCUUAACACAUGCAAGUCGAACGGAUAUCAAGGAGAGCUUGCUCGAAUUGGUAUUAGUGGCGGACGGGUGAGUAACGCGUGAGUAACCUGCCCUAUGCAGGGGGACAACAUCGGGAAACUGGUGCUAAUACCGCAUGAGACCACAGUAUCACAUGGUACAGGGGUCAAAGCUUUGGCGGCAUAGGAUGGACUCGCGUCCAAUUAGCUAGUUGGUGAGGUAAUGGCUCACCAAGGCGACGAUUGGUAGCCGAACUGAGAGGUUGAUCGGCCACAUUGGGACUGAGACACGGCCCAGACACCUACGGGUGGCAG